GACGAACGCUGGCGGCGUGCUUAACACAUGCAAGUCGAGCGGUAAGGCCCUUUCGGGGGUACGACGAGCGGCGAACGGGUGAGUAACACGUGGGUGACCUGCCCUCAGCUCUGGGAUAAGCCUGGGAAACCGGGUCUAAUACUGGAUAUGACUCCAUGACGCAUGUUGUGGGGUGGAAAGCCUUGUGCGGCUGAGGAUGGGCCCGCGGCCUAUCAGCUUGUUGGUGGGGUGAGGCCUACCAAGGCGACGACGGGUAGCCGGCCUGAGAGGGCGACCGGCCACACUGGGACUGAGACACGGCCCAGACUCCUACGGGAGGCAGCAGUGGGGAAGUCUUGCGCAAUGGGCGAAAGCCUGACGCAGCGACGCCGCGUGAGGGAUGACGG
rnacentral:rRNA from 1 species